rnacentral:rRNA from 1 species
CCCGGUACGCCCGAGCACACGGUCAACGCCUCGCUCUACUUCGAGAACAAGCGCCUGACGGCGACCCUCUCGUACAACUACGCCAGCUCGUUUCUGGACAACGAAGAGAUGGGUAUGACCGCCUUCACGGACCGCUACUACGACAGCGUGAACUACCUCGACGCCAAUGUCUCGGUGCGCGCCACGAAGUACCUUGCGCUCUUUGCCGAGGUGGGCAACCUGCUGAACCAGCCCCUGCGCUACUAUCAGGGGACGAAGGAGCGCGUGCGCCAGGCCGAAUACUACGGCAUCCGCUUCUCGGUCGGUGCCAAGGUGCGCUUCUGACGGACGCCGCCGACAAUCCGAAAAAGGCCGCUUGUCGAAGCGGCCUUUUUCUUUUGCGGGUAUCAGAAGGUGUAGCCCGCCUCGAUGUAGGCGUAGCGGCCCAGGUAGGAGGUGACCGUCGUCAGCACGUAGUCCGUAUGGAAGCGGGUUGAGGCGUAGUCGGGGCUGUUGAGCAGGUCGAUGACGCCGAGCGCGAGCGAAAAGCGGUUCUCGCGGCCGAACUUGCGUCCGGCGGCGAGGUUCAGCUCAGAAGCGAGCCGCAGCGAAGGCGAGUCAUUAAGACGGCGACGAAGUCGCCGGGCGCAGACGCGAAGCCGGGUGAGCUAUCCAUGGGCAGGCUGAAGCGGGGGUAAGACCCCGUGGAGGGCCGAACCCACUUCGGUUGAAAACGGAGGGGAUGACCCGUGGAUAGGGGUGAAAGGCCAAUCAAACCCGGAGAUAUCUCGUUCUCCCCGAAAUAGCUUUAGGGCUAGCCUCGAUCGCUUACCGACGGUGGUAGAGCACUGGAUCCGUGCGGGGGCCUCACCGCCUACCAACCGAAACCAAACUCCGAAUGCCGUCGGUCCCGAGAUCGGGAGUCAGAACAUGUGGGCUAAGCCGUGUGUUCGAGAGGGAAACAGCCCAGACCGCCUGCUAAGGUCCCCAAAUCAACGCUGAGUGGCAAAGGAUGUGCGUUUGCCUAGACAACCAGGAUGUUGGCUUAGAAGCAGCCAUGCAUUUAAAGAGUGCGUAACAGCUCACUGGUCAAGUGGACAUGCGCCGACAAUACACGGGGCUAAGCGUUGUACCGAAGCAGCGGACUGUUUUAUCAGUGGUAGGGGAGCUUUCCAUGCCGGGGCGAAGCCGACGGGCGACCGUCGGUGGACUGCAUGGAAGUGAGAAUGCUGGCAUGAGUAACGAGAGAGGGGCGAGAAACCCCUCCGCCGUAAGCCUAAGGGUUCCUGGGCAAGGCUAAUCCCCCCAGGGUCAGUCGGGAGCUAAGGCGAGGCCGACAGGCGUAGCCGAUGCACAACAGGCGGACAUUCCUGUACCACCGCGGAGCGUUACUACGACGGGGUGACGGAGAAGGGUAGCCGGGCGGGGUUCUGGACGUCCCCGUGAAAGCGCGUAGGCCGCAGGGCAGGCAAAUCCGCCCUGCAGCAGGCCGAGACGUUAGACGAAGCUUCAUGUGAAGCCGGCGAGCCCAUGCUUCCGAGAAAAACCUCUAAGGAGCGAGGCGGUGCCCGUACCAAAACCGACACAGGUAGGCGGGUAGAGCAUACCAAGGCGAUCGGGAGAACCAUGGUUAAGGAACUCGGCAUACUGACUCCGUAACUUCGGGAGAAGGAGUGCCCCCGCCUGUGAGGUCCCACGCGGACGGAGCGGGAGGGGGUCGCAGCGAAACGGCCCAAGCGACUGUUUACCAAAAACACAGGACUCUGCAAAGCCGCAAGGCGACGUAUAGGGUCUGACGCCUGCCCGGUGCUGGAAGGUUACGCGGAUGAGUUAGCGCAAGCGAAGCCCUGAAGCCAAGCCCCAGUAAACGGCGGCCGUAACUAUAACGGUCCUAAGGUAGCGAAAUUCCUUGUCGGGUAAGUUCCGACCUGCACGAAUGGCGUAACGACUUGGGCGCUGUCUCAACCAUGGACCCGGUGAAAUUGUAUUAUUCGUGAAGAUGCGAAUUACCUGCGGAAGGACGGAAAGACCCCGUGAACCUUUACUGCAGCUUGGCAUUGGCUGUUGGUGCGGUGCGUAGAGGAUAGGCAGGAGCCUGCGAACCGGGAACGCCAGUUCCCGGGGAGGCGCCCUUGGAAUACUGCCCUCACCGCAUCGGCAGCCUAACGCGCCGCCCUCAUCGGGGGCGCGGACCGUGCCAGGUGGGUAGUUUGACUGGGGCGGUCGCCUCCUAAACUGUAACGGAGGCGUGCGAAGGUUCGCUCAGGGCGGUUGGCAAUCGCCCGCAGAGCACAAGAGUACAAGCGAGCCUGACUGCGAGACCAACAAGUCGAGCAGAGACGAAAGUCGGUUCUAGUGAUCCGGCGGCCCAGCGUGGAAUGGCCGUCGCUCAACGGAUAAAAGGUACUCCGGGGAUAACAGGCUGAUC